rfam:Schistosoma curassoni strain Dakar, Senegal genome assembly, scaffold: SCTD_scaffold0010371
AUCCAGCUGACGAGUUCUAAGUAGGACGAAACGUGUGUCCUGAAU